rnacentral:rRNA from 1 species
AUGGUAGGAUAGAGGCCUACCAUGGUGGUAACGGGUAACGGGGUGUUAGGGCACGACACCGGAGAGGGAGCCUGAGAAACGGCUACCACAUCCAAGGAAGGCAGCAGGCACGCAAAUUACCCAAUCCCGACACGGGGAGGUAGUGACAAUAAAUAACAAUACAGGGUUCUUUGAAUCUUGUAAUUGGAAUGAGUACAAUUUAAAUCUCUUAACGAGGAACAAUUGGAGGGCAAGUCUGGUGCCAGCAGCCGCGGUAAUUCCAGCUCCAAUAGCGUAUAUNAAAGUUGUUGCAGUUAAAAAGCUCGUAGUUGAAUUUCGGGAUCAAUACGUCGGUCGUGCUUUCGGGUACGUACUGGCGUCAUUGGUUUCUCCUUUCUGACGAACCAUGAUGUCAUUAAUUUGGUGUUAUGGGGAGUUAGGACUGUUACUUUGAAAAAAUUAGAGUGUUUAAAGCAGGCAUUAGCUUGAAUACAUUAGCAUGGAAUAAUGAAAUAGGACGUUCGAUCCUAUUUUGUUGGUUUCUAGGAUCAACGUAAUGAUUAAUAGGGAUAGUUGGGGGCAUUAGUAUUCAAUUGUCAGAGGUGAAAUUCUUGGAUUUAUUGAAGACUAACUACUGCGAAAGCAUUUGCCAAGGAUGUUUUCAUUAAUCAAGAACGAAAGUUAGGGGAUCGAAGACGAUCAGAUACCGUCGUAGUCUUAACCAUAAACUAUGCCGACUAGGGAUCGGAUGAUGUUAAUUUUUUAAUGACUCAUUCGGCGCCUUACGGGAAACCAAAGUGUUUGGG